UUGGGCACCGUCCACGAGUCGAUCUUCCGACGGCGGGGGGCGGGGUCGGAAGAGCCGCAGCGAACACGUUAUUUUUCUCCGGUUCCGCUGCAGCUUUCCCGACCCCGACGCUGUUGCAUCCUGCAUUAUCUUGGGCCACUGAAUCGGGACAACGCGGAAGACCGAGCGAAACGUGUCGUUUUCAUCGGGACAUGAACGCGGACUACAAAGUUCCUCGACAAAGAAAGAACGUGGGGGAAUUUCUCGAUGUUACGACCGAAAUAAAAAACCGCUUGCCGUACGAAUGCGGGCAUAUAGCAUGCGCGGAAACGUGUCUCCCGAUGAGAGUCUAGAAGCAGCGGAGUUACGGCAAGGGAUCGAUUUGAAUUGUAACCGAAGAAACGACUUGUCCUCGUAACGAUCGUACCCGAGCGAUCGAGAACACGAUCGCAAAUGAACGAGCGAACCGUGGAUGACGUUCAGGCCGGUUGGAAACGUGUCGCGUCUCGCCUAUAAUUGAGCAAACGAAUCGACGAUGCGGAGCCGUGCGAACGCGCUCCCCCUGCUCUGUUUAAUUAAUGAAACAGAGUGUGUUCUCUGCCCUUGCCGCUGAGUGGCUUUCUCGCGUAAUCUUAUAUCCUUCGAAUAACAAGAUUCUCUCUCUUCGUUCGUCUAUCGUCUACCCCCCCGUUAGUCGGCAUUCGGAAGGUGAAGUAUUGCUUUCGGAACAGAGCGCCGACAGCCCGGCUGUCUGUUGGUUGUACCCGCGCUCGAUCGGGAUCGGUUCGCGAUCGAUUCGUGCGUUGCGCCAUCUCAUUUCACGUCGAUCUUCUAUCAUCCGAUUUCCGCCGGUCGCUGCUGGCCACGGCGCGAGAGAAGACUGCUGCGGACCCACCAACUCGGUUUGCCGGCUCAGAAGUCCAUCACCUCCAUCUUAAACGGUUUACCCUGAAGCUUGUUCGAGACGAUCUUCGUGAUCGGUGGCGCGCUGUUGUUGUCGUCGUCGCUGUUUAUAUCCUCGUCCUCCUCCGGGAAGUCCUCGAGCCUGUCGUGGUACUCGUCCAGCUAGAAAAACCAUACGAUCGAUUAACCCUGAACGGAACUUCACCCUUUUGUUUCAGACCGAUCGAUCCGUGGAAAAGAACAAACUCAGCUACAAAAGUCUAGGGCGUGAGAUCGUUUCGUAACGAGGCCGAGCUAGCGUUUAGCCAUGUGAGAGAACAAUACAGCGCGGUGCCGGCGAGAACUUGAGAAGCUGUGACACCAGGCUGCGCCGAGACCGUCGUCCCCUGCGAAACGCUGAAGCUCUCUUCUACGUGCGAACGAGAGUGCGAAGCGCGCACACAGAAGCUACAGGCAUUCCGUAAUACGUAGUAUGUUCUACGGACUCACGUGUGUAGGGUAGCUACGGAAGAAGCGAUUUAAUCGACGUUACCGCACACCGAUCGGACGGUUACCUAUAACUGCGGGUACGUCCAACGUGAAUCACCUCUGUGCUCCUCCGUGCCGAAAAGACGCGCCCCGAGCACUCCUUGUUGCUGCCCACCAAUGCACCAGGUGCUCGGCAAGGGGACCGUUCCGUGAAAAGACCUCGAAGCGUCCGUACCAACGGCAGAGAGCCCGGAUCCCCUCGUCGACCACCCGAAUUAGCGCCGCAGACCAUUCGUGAACUCGCGGUGCAUCCAUUCGACCGAGUCGUUUACCAUGAUCGCUACUCUAAGCUAGCUGAUGAGCGUGCUUCGUGUGUGUCCUUCGAUAGCUUGCGCCGAAGAAGAACUUGCUCGGCAAUCGCGAUAGAACCGCGGCCGAACAUUGUGUUUGGUUCUAUCGCCAUUGCCGAACGUGUGUGUCGAUCGGUGAUGGCAGUGUUUGUGGAUCGUGGAGAAGACAAGGAUUUCUUUAGUGGAGACACAGAAGCCGUGGAACAUGGGGAAAGGAAGCAGAAAUACAUCGUCAACCCUCCGAUAGCCGUGCCGAGUUGAUUCUUGAGUUCUGAAGGAUCUCUGCCAUCCGAGGGUUGAAAAGGCAACGAUAACACAGCAAGGAAAUGAAUCGGUAUUCCUAAUCGAUUAUUUCCUCGGUCUCGUUGUCUCGCGAUAUCGACACAACCAUGUUAAAAUACAGCAAUUUCCGCUCGAGGUCGCAGCUAGAUAAAGUCUACACGAAUAUGAAUAAUAUGUUUAAAAAACGACUGGACAACGUGAUGAAUAUAUUUAAAAAACAUUCCGAGGAUUACUGUUCGCCGAGUCAUGUCGAGCGUCGCUAAUUGGCCGCGUCCAUCAAGCGGAAAUUAUCGUGUAUCCAAUGAGAGGAUUGCAUGAUCGAUGUUGGUGAAGCGAAAACGGAGCGAAGGUGGUUUCUUUUUGGCUCGACUCACAUCGACGUCGCCCAUCAUUUCCUUGGUAGAGACCGUAGUGUCGAUGCGUCGUAUGCUGCCCUGAUGGAUAUCUACG